rnacentral:lncRNA from 1 species
GUUAACACUUCAACCAACACCAUAAAGCAUAAAAAGGUGUCCGCAAGUUGGUUGUAUCUAUCUACAUAGUUUGAUGUAAGAAUAGAAUGUUCACUUUUGUGUUAUUUAGCGUAGGAGGGUCUCACUCCUUAUUUAGCUAAAGAAUAGGCUUUCAAAACGAGCAAUGAGCAUUGCAGGGGGCCAAUGCGACAUCAAGGAAAGGCCGGUGCACCUCAAUUGCUUGAGGAAUUGACCGGACGACCUCCAGGAAGUUGGAGUCGUGUUCGGGUGACCUCAAUGUCCCCCGGGUCACCACCAUGCUUCAUGGUGAUGCUAGAUCUCGAAUGUCUUCGUUUUGAGCGGAAGAAUGGAUGUCCAUGAGAUUUUCUUAAAAUUUGGACCAUUAUAUCUCUUCCAGGUUGACCAAUUUGGUCAAACCAAAGCCUAUAUGAGUCGGUGUCCCAAAUAUCAUGUAUGGCGACAACAUGGGAUUCGAUAUUCGAAUCGUAGUGACAUACAGCUCACUAGAUUGACUCAUGAAUUUCUCCAAGAUGCACUUCAGUUCGCAUUCAUGAGGAGGUAUACACAAAAGAAUUCUUGUUCAUUCUCAUAAUGUGUUUUCAAAUGAAAACCAUUAGCAGGAAUGUCUUUAAAACUUAACAUGGUUCCUUAGAAUGUUGUGGAUAGUUCCACUAUCUGCGAAGCACUCAAUGUCUCUAUGAGACAUAACUACAAGGAGUAGAUAGGCGAGUAAAUAGUUCUACUUGAACCAUUUAGAAGGAUUGAAAGAAGCUCGAAAAGCUGCAAUCCCGAGAGUGCAUAAAAAUUUCCGCGCAGAAUGACCUUUGCGCACUAAAACAGCCAUAACUUCUUCGUUAAAAUAGAUAUGGACGAACCGUGAAAAGUUCUGAAAACUAGACUCGUAGAGCUUUCCAAUGAUAUAAAGCUCACUGUCUGGUUCGUCCGGAGCUGUUCACAAAGCUCAAACGAAGUUGACUGUCCAGAAGGGACAGAUUGCUGUUUUUCGCAGAUUUGGCAUGUGCGAAGCUGUGAAGCUUGCAGG